CUACGGGCUGCACCAGUGGGGAAUAUUGCACAAUGGACGAAAGUCUGAUGCAGCAACGCCGCGUGGAGGAUGACACAUUUCGGUGCGUAAACUCCUUUUAUAUAGGAAGAUAAUGACGGUACUAUAUGAAUAAGCACCGGCUAACUCCGUGCCAGCAGCCGCGGUAAUACGGAGGGUGCAAGCGUUACUCGGAAUUACUGGGCGUAAAGAGCGUGUAGGCGGGUGCAUAAGUUGGAAGUGAAAUCCUAUGGCUCAACCAUAGAACUGCUUCCAAAACUGUACACCUAGAAUGUGGGAGAGGUAGAUGGAAUUUCUGGUGUAGGGGUAAAAUCCGUAGAUAUCAGAAGGAAUACCGAUUGCGAAGGCGAUCUACUGGAACACUAUUGACGCUGAGACGCGAAAGCGUGGGGAGCAAACAGGAUUAGAUACCCGGGUAGUC
rnacentral:rRNA from 1 species